UUGUUGAGGCGGUCGAUCUUGGCGCUGGCGUCCGGGUGGUACUCCUCGCCGGCGGCCACGGCGGCGGCCCGGGCGCGGGCGGCUUCCUCAGCGGCGCGCUUGCGUGCGUCUCUGAGGCGUUCCUGGCGCUCUCGUGCGUCGCGCAUGUGCUGGUCGAGGUACUUGGCGUACGCAAAGUAGCCCUCCUCCGCGCGCGUGUCCAGUGCUACCGCCUGCUCAAACAGCCCUGUGCGCAGCCCAGGCAGCCGUAUCUAACUUCCUUGUUUGUACGCGUCAAUCCCCAGAAUUCGCGCAAAGGCUGGCUGGUGCUCUGUGCACCCUCCUUUGGCAGCUGGCCUUGCCUCACCUCUGCUUGAUGGCAAAAUAAUCAGACAUUUUGAUUGUGGUGGUGAAAACGGGGCCAAGCCCCAAACAUCACACUGCGAUGUGCUGAUCGACAGGCAAAACAGUCAAUCAGCCAAAAAGCGCGGCAGGGCAGUCGGGCACAUUGAAAAAAUGGCAGACAGUCUGAAACGCGCAAGAAGUACGAGCUGGGAUCCUGGGAGCUUACCUGCGAUGUCUGCGCGCACGCCCUGGCCGGUGGUGGCGGUCCAGCAGGCCAGCUGCAGCACCAGCUCUGCGCCGUUCUGCCUCACGCUCGGGCUCAGCUGCGAGCUGCGCCCUCCAGGACCCACAUC
rnacentral:lncRNA from 1 species